AUUGAACGCUGGCGGCAUGCUUUACACAUGCAAGUCGAACGGCAGCGCGGGCUUCGGCCUGGCGGCGAGUGGCGAACGGGUGAGUAAUGCAUCGGAACGUGCCCAGUAGUGGGGGAUAGCCCGGCGAAAGCCGGAUUAAUACCGCAUACGACCUGAGGGUGAAAGCGGGGGACCGAAAGGCCUCGCGCUAUUGGAGCGGCCGAUGUCGGAUUAGCUAGUUGGUGGGGUAAAGGCUUACCAAGGCGACGAUCCGUAGCUGGUCUGAGAGGACGACCAGCCACACUGGGACUGAGACACGGCCCAGAAUCCUACGGGAGGCAGCAGGGGGGAAUUUGGGACAAUGGGGGCAACCCUGAUCCAGCCAUGCCGCGGGCGGGAAGAAGGCCUUCGGGUUGUAAACCGCUUUUGUUCGGGAAGAAAUCCUCUGGGCUAAUACCCCGGGGGGAUGACGGUACCGGAAGAAUAAGCACCGGCUAACUACGU
rnacentral:rRNA from 1 species